rnacentral:rRNA from 1 species
CCUACGGGUGGCUGCAGUGAGGAAUAUUGGUCAAUGGACGCAAGUCUGAACCAGCCAAGUAGCGUGCAGGAUGACGGCCCUCCGGGUUGUAAACUGCUUUUAGUUGGGAAUAAAAGGGGGCUCGUGAGCCCCGUAUUGUAUGUACUAUCUGAAAAAGGACCGGCUACUUCCGUGCCAGCAGCCGCGGUAAUACGGAGGGUCCGGGCGUUAUCCGGAUUUAUUGGGUUAAAAGGGAGCGUAGGCCGGCUUUUAAGUCAGCUGUGAAAGUCCGCGGCUCAACCGUGGAAUUGCAGUUGAAACUGUAGGCGUUGAGUGGAGACAGGGAUGCCGAAAGUCAUGGGGUAGCGGGGAAAUGCUUAGAUAUCAUGAAGAACUCCGAUCGCGAAGGCAAGUGUCCGGGGUGCAACUGACGCGGAGGCUGGAAAGUGCGGGUAUCAAACAGGAUUAGAUACCCUAGUAGC